rnacentral:rRNA from 1 species
AUGCUUGCUAUUUUUGAGAGUGGUAUUGCUACAGGAAGGUAUGCAAUGACAUCUCAUCAGGCUCUUGGGGUUCCUUCAAUGGUAGAAACCUCCCCAUCAUUUGUAAACCUCGAAGGUUGUGGUUCUGAAUUUGUUGAUGGGAAUGAACUUGACUCGAGUGCUACUGGUGCUGCUCAUGGGGAAGAUGGUGUUGCUGCUCCUCAUGGGAAGGAACCAUGUAAGGAUGCUUCUAGCUCCACUGGCAAAAGGAAGAGGGCAGUCCGUGAAGUUUCUAUUGCUAUCAAGUCCACCGGAGAGGCACAUCCUGAACUUUACAAUUCUGUCAUAGAGCUCCCUGGUUUUACCGAGAAUGAUCUAUUGAUUGUCUUGGAUUAUCUCAAUGAGAACGCCAACAGGGCUAGGAGUCACUCAUUUGUGCAGAUGUCAGAGACUCGUCGCAUUCGUUGGGCCAUUCACCACCUCUCCAAGUUCAAUGGUGGAGUGUCCAUGCCCAAGGAUGGAGCG